rnacentral:rRNA from 1 species
GAUGAACGCUGGCGGCGUGCCUAAUACAUGCAAGUCGAGCGAACGGACGAGAAGCUUGCUUCUCUGAUGUUAGCGGCGGACGGGUGAGUAACACGUGGAUAACCUACCUAUAAGACUGGGAUAACUUCGGGAAACCGGAGCUAAUACCGGAUAAUAUUUUGAACCGCAUGGUUCAAAAGUGAAAGACGGUCUUGCUGUCACUUAUAGAUGGAUCCGCGCUGCAUUAGCUAGUUGGUAAGGUAACGGCUUACCAAGGCAACGAUGCGUAGCCGACCUGAGAGGGUGAUCGGCCACACUGGAACUGAGACACGGUCCAGACUCCUACGGGAGGCAGCAGUAGGGAAUCUUCCGCAAAGGGCGAAAGCCUGACGGAGCAACGCCGCGUGAGUGAUGAAGGUCUUCGGAUCGUAAAACUCUGUUAUUAGGGAAGAACAUAUGUGUAAGUAACUGUGCACAUCUUGACGGUACCUAAUCAGAAAGCCACGGCUAACUACGUG